UUUAAGGCGCGGUGGCAGUAUAGCAGCCGAUGAGGUUUACCCAAGGUGCAAUUACUGCUUAUUGAAAACUUUUCCUAGGCAGAAAUUACAAGCAGGGUAGACAAAGGAGAUGUGCUGUACUUGGAUUUUCAGAAGGCCUUUGACAAGG